CCUACGGGUGGCAGCAGUGGGGAAUAUUGGACAAUGGGGGCAACCCUGAUCCAGCCAUGCCGCGUGUGUGAAGAAGGCCCUCGGGUUGUAAAGCACUUUCAGUGAGGAAGAACGCCUGGUGGUUAAUACCCAUCAGGAAAGACAUCACUCACAGAAGAAGCACCGGCUAACUCCGUGCCAGCAGCCGCGGUAAUACGGAGGGUGCGAGCGUUAAUCGGAAUUACUGGGCGUAAAGCGCGCGUAGGUGGCUUGAUAAGCCGGUUGUGAAAGCCCCGGGCUCAACCUGGGAACGGCAUCCGGAACUGUCAAGCUAGAGUGCAGGAGAGGAAGGUAGAAUUCCCGGUGUAGUGGUGAAAUGCGUAGAGAUCGGGAGGAAUACCAGUGGCGAAGGCGGCCUUCUGGACUGACACUGACACUGAGGUGCGAAAGCGUGGGUAGCAAACAGGAUUAGAUACCCUGGUAGUC
rnacentral:rRNA from 1 species